UACGAAGGGGGCUAGCGUUGUUCGGAAUUACUGGGCGUAAAGCGCACGUAGGCGGAUAUUUAAGUCAGGGGUGAAAUCCCAGAGCUCAACUCUGGAACUGCCUUUGAUACUGGGUAUCUUGAGUAUGGAAGAGGUAAGUGGAAUUGCGAGUGUAGAGGUGAAAUUCGUAGAUAUCGGGAGGAACACCAGUGGCGAAGGCGGCGAUCUGGGUCGAUACUGACGCUGAGGUGCGAAAGCGUGGGGAGCAAACAGG
rnacentral:rRNA from 1 species